GCUUGACUCAUUCGUGGAAAAUAGAGCACCUAGCAAGGGGAUCGCUUGACUCAUUCGUGGAAAAUAGAGCACCUACAAUCUUCAACAAAAAAUGCCAAAUUGCGUUCAACUACGUGGGCUUGUCUUACGAAGAUUUCUAGCCGUCAAACGACCGCUGCAGCACAAGGCCAUGAAGGGCUGGCUCAAGUACGCUGUAUCGGCAACAUGGUUGGUUGCGCUUUUGAGCGUAGAAAGUGCGAUGUCGAUGUGCCUGGUAGAGCGAGGUGAUGGAAAAGUCUUCUGUGGA